rnacentral:rRNA from 1 species
GAGGAAUAUUGGUCAAUGGGCGAUGGCCUGAACCAGCCAAGUAGCGUGAAGGAUGACUGCCCUAUGGGUUGUAAACUUCUUUUAUAAAGGAAUAAAGUCGGGUAUGCAUACCCGUUUGCAUGUACUUUAUGAAUAAGGAUCGGCUAACUCCGUGCCAGCAGCCGCGGUAAUACGGAGGAUCCGAGCGUUAUCCGGAUUUAUUGGGUUUAAGGGGAGCGUAGAUGGAUGUUUAAGUCAGUUGUGAAAGUUUGCGGCUCAACCGUAAAAUUGCAGUUGAUACUGGAUGUCUUGAGUGCAGUUGAGGCAGGCGGAAUUCGUGGUGUAGCGGUGAAAUGCUUAGAUAUCACGAAGAACUCCGAUUGCGAAGGCAGCCUGCUAAGCUGCAACUGACAUUGAGGCUCGAAAGUGUGGGUAUCAAACAGGAUUAGAUACCCUGGUAGUCCACACGGUAAACGAUGAAUACUCGCUGUUUGCGAUAUACGGCAAGCGGCCAAGCGAAAGCGUUAAGUAUUCCACCUGGGGAGUACGCCGGCAACGGUGAAACUCAAAGGAAUUGACGGGGGCCCGCACAAGCGGAGGAACAUGUGGUUUAAUUCGAUGAUACGCGAGGAACCUUACCCGGGCUUAAAUUGCACUCGAAUGAUCCGGAAACGGUUCAGCUAGCAAUAGCGAGUGUGAAGGUGCUGCAUGGUUGUCGUCAGCUCGUGCCGUGAGGUGUCGGCUUAAGUGCCAUAACGAGCGCAACCCUUGUUGUCAGUUACUAACAGGUGAUGCUGAGGACUCUGACAAGACUGCCAUCGUAAGAUGUGAGGAAGGUGGGGAUGACGUCAAAUCAGCACGGCCCUUACGUCCGGGGCUACACACGUGUUACAAUGGGGGGUACAGAGGGCCGCUACCACGCGAGUGGAUGCCAAUCCCUAAAACCCCUCUCAGUUCGGACUGGAGUCUGCAACCCGACUCCACGAAGCUGGAUUCGCUAGUAAUCGCGCAUCAGCCACGGCGCGGUGAAUACGUUCCCG